AACCAAAGAGACCCAAGUUAUAAAUUCUGGUAGAUGUGCAGAUAUUUUCAUGGGAGGUUGGUUGGUUUGGGGGCCGGGGGGCUUCACCUGUGGCAUGUGGACGUUCCUGGGCCGGGGAUCAAACCCUCAUCACAGCAGUGAUCUGAGCCACUGCGGUGACAACGUCAGAUCCUUGACCCUCUGUGCCGCAGGGGAGCUCCGUUGGUGGGCGUGUUAGGAAGCUCUUCCUGACGACAUCGCUGUUCUCAGUGCAGUAGGACGCAGGGUCCUGGUGUCGGAUGUUGCGGAGGGAAGGGGGUAAAAUACCUUCAAGAGCAACGGAGAGAAUGCAGAGCGAGUGGAGCGGUGUGUGAUCGCCUGGGAACCAGCAUUGUGUCCAUCUGAAGUUCACAGUCGACACCUUGAUCUUAGCAAGUUAAGACCCGUGGAUCAACCCUGGAAGAAGAGAGGCAGGCGCCGUCCGCGUUGCGGGUGGUUUAGGAUGCCACAUGCUUCCAGAGCAAAUUUCUGACCCAUCGCCCCUGAGGUUUUGUAAGGGAGCAGGGAAAAGGGCGUUCUUGUCCGUGUGUUGUUGGCAAAGAGACCUCAGCCGGCCUUCUGGGCAAGGGGUCUGAUGACCUCAACAGCCUAAAACCCCCGCGCGGCCACGGCCCAUGAGGUUAUAGUGCGCGGCUGAGGCCCCUUCCCUGGGACCCUGGGUGGCCUUGGGGACGCCUUUCCUGGCGGGGCGGGUUGCAGAGUCUUCUGGCUCAGCAGAGCUGUUCUUGGGGAACUGCCCUCAGCUGGAGAGCCACCUGCUGACUGGCAGCUGUCCGGGGCUGCAGCGACCCACCCUCCUCGGCUGCGGGUGGCAUGGCUCCGAAGGGCCACGCUGGGUCCAGGGCCCCCUGGGAGAUGCGUGGAGGCCUCGCGGCUGCCUUUCAGCCCCGCUUCCCUCUUUGCAGUUCUGGUUUCUUCUCCUCCGCCCCCACGGGCACUGAUGUCCAGGGUGUCCCCAGCAAUUUCCCGACCCCUGGUGCACACGCUGAGCCUCGUUCCCAGGGAACCCAACCUAAGGCCCUUUGAUACAGGAAGUGUGUAAUUGGGAGUUGAGCAAGCAAAAUGGAGGGUGCAGAGAUUUGGCUCUUAGGUGAUUGCUAAGAGUGUAAAAGUGAAAUGUCAUCACAGGGAAGUUUGCCUCUUUGCAUGGUCUGCCCACAGGACCGAGGCAGAAGCUGCUGCAGACACGUUUUAAAGCCGUGGAAAGAUUUUUUUUUCUUUUUACGGCUGCCCCUGUGGCAUGUAGCAGGUCCCAGGCUAGGCGUCCACUCAGAGCUGCAUCUGCCUGGCUACACCACAGCCACCCCGGAUCCAUGCUGCCUAUGCGACCUAUACCAAAGCUUGUGUCGCGGCCGGAUCCUUCAUUCACGGAGAGAGGCCAGAGAUGAACCUGCAGCCUCAUGGACACGAUAUUGGGGUCUCACCUGCUUAGCCCCAGUGGGAACUCCAGUGAAAAGAUUUUCACAAUGUUUUGCUAAGUGAAGACUGCCAGUUACCAAGCAGUCAGUUGAGGAAGAUGGUUAAAAUCAUUAGUGUGAAAACGUGUGUAUGAGAUACGUGUGUCUUGAGAGAUCGGCAUGAAUAAUCACCAAGACCUUUCAAGCAGUUAAUGGAGCAAGAGAGUUAUAGGUGGUGUACACUUUUUUCUUUUUGUUCCUAGUGGCUCAUUUUUUUUUUUUUUUUUUGUCUUCUGUCUUUUGAGGGCCACACCUGUGGCAUAUGGAGAUUCCCAGGCUAGGGGUCGAUCAGAGCUAUAGCCGCCAGUCUACACCACAGCUGCAGCAACGCCAGAUCUGAGCCGUGUCUGCGACCUACACCACAGCUCAUGGCCAUGCCGGAUCCUUAACCCACUGAGCGAGGCCAGGGAUCGAACCCACAAUCUCAUGGUUCCUAGUUGGAUUCAUUUCCGCUGCACCAAGAUGGGAACUCCAUAAUUUUUAUAUACCUAUUAUAAUUUGUGUAAUGAGAUGAAGCAGAUGGUUAAUUUGAGAUACAUGUAUUAUAAUAUUUUUCAUCUGCAGUGUAAGAGGAACAAGAAACACGUGUGGGGAGCUGAGUACAAUGGGUUGGUGAAGCUCUGCUCGGUCCAGACCACACCAGAGCUUCCAUUCCAGCCCCCGUCAGCAAACAUCUCAAGACUUGGCUGGACAUGACUACAUUUUUAAAACUCAGGGCACAGGGUCUUUUAAGGAUGGAUGUAGGUUCUGUUGGGCCUGUCUGUCUCAGAACUGCAGUGUAGACGCUGAAAUGUAUAUGGUACUGGGAGACUUCAGGGAUGUAUGGCAGUGAUAUACAGAAUAUUUGAAAUCAAGACGUUUUUAAAAACUGACCUAUAGGAAGUGGCUCAGUGGUUAAUGAACCCGACUAGGAUCUGUGAGGAAGUGGGUUCGAUCCCUACUCUUGCUCAAUGGGUUAAGGAUCCAGUGUUGCCAUGAGCUGUGGUGUGGGUUGCAGACACUGCUCAGAUCCUGCAUGGCUGCGGCUGUGGCCUAGGUCAGCGGCUACAUCUCCGAUUGGACCCCCAGCCUGGAAACCUCCAUAUGUCGUGAGUGCAGCCCCCCCAAAAAAAACCAAAAAACCCCAGUGACCUUGAUAAUCGCCAUACGUGUAGGUGUUUGCAUGCUUACCCUGCCUUGGAGACGCUAACAUUAUACCGCAACAUUUGAUGAAAUUCUUGCAUCCGUAGAACUUGAAGUACUGAUGGUACCACCUUUGUGAUUUUUUUUUUACAUCUCUGCCAUCUCUGAUAGGACUUAAUUUUUUUUUCCUUAAAUGGACCUUCUGUAGAAACCUAAGAACUUUCCUGUCCUGAUUGUAAGUAAUAAUGGGGAGAUAAAAUUGAUUUAAUUUACUAGUCAUCAUUUUCAGCUGCAUAUUAAAAUAAGUUCCUAACCAUUGAGAUGGAAGAUGUCUCUGUGCCUGUGGAAAAGCAUCACCUGCCUUCAUCCCCUGCUUGGGGAACAUGCUGCCCCAGGUUGUCAGAAUCUGCAACAACAGACAUUGUGCUGGGGCUGGAGGCCCUUCUGCUGAGCUAGAAGGAGAAGAGGAAGGAAGGUCCUGGGCCCGGGCUUGUCUCAGGACCAGCAAGCCUUGACUUCUGCCAACCAUUUAUUUGUAAGUCCCUCUUGUGGAACAGGAACCUAUUGUAUGUUAAAGGGGCUUUUAUGGGCGCAUGGGAGAAGACGGAUGGCCCCGUAGCAGAGAGUAAAUUUUUAUGGACUGUUCUCUCGGGGGCUGCUGGAGACCAUCAUAGACACAAUUGAGGUUUGUUUUUUUCUUUUUGGCCGCGGGUCAUUUACCAGAGCCUGACACCCAGUUGGUGGUCGCAAAGGUUUCUUGAAUUUAAUUGACUGAAGGCUUUAAAAAACAUUUCCUGGAGUUCCCGUCGUGGCGCAGUGGUUAAGGAAUCCGACUAGGAACCAUGAGGUUGCGGGUUCGAUCCCUGGCCUUGCUCAGUGGGUUAAGGAUCCGGCGUUGCUAUGAGCUGUGGUGUAGGUUGCAGACGCGGCUUGGAUCCCGCAUUGCUGUGGCUGUGGUGUAGGCCGGUGGUUAUGGCUCCGAUUAGACCCCUAUCCUGGGAACUUCCAUAUGCUGCGGGAGCGGCCCAAGAAAUGGC
rnacentral:lncRNA from 1 species